GACGAACGCUGGCGGCGUGCUUAACACAUGCAAGUCGAGCGGUAAGGCCCUUUCGGGGGUACACGAGCGGCGAACGGGUGAGUAACACGUGGGUGACCUGCCCUCAGCUCUGGGAUAAGCCUGGGAAACCGGGUCUAAUACUGGAUAUGACUCCAUGACGCAUGUUGUGGGGUGGAAAGCCUUGUGCGGCUGAGGAUGGGCCCGCGGCCUAUCAGCUUGUUGGUGGGGUGAGGCCUACCAAGGCGACGACGGGUAGCCGGCCUGAGAGGGCGACCGGCCACACUGGGACUGAGACACGGCCCAGACCCCUACGGGAGGCAGCAGUGGGGAAUCUUGCGCAAUGGGCGAAAGCCUGACGCCAGCGACGCCGCGUGAGGGAUGACGGCCUGG
rnacentral:rRNA from 1 species